UAUGUAUGAUGAGCAAUAACUUUCGCCCCUAACUGAAGAAAAUUCUGUUGAACGCGAAAUUCAUUGGUCUUUCUGAUUAUAGAUU